AUGACAACAAGGUGAAUUGAGCAGUUGAGCGACACCUAUUUGAAGGGUUUACAAAGUCUUGUGUGCACAUGAUGCAAAGUCCUUGAUGGUGUGUAGGCUGUUUGUCAACAUCUGAAACCCACAUGAAUUUCAGGGAGAUGCUUGUCAGGAGCCAAGACUGAAAAAAAGACUGAAAAACUGCCUUUAAACACAGACAUUAUUCAUUUCAAUGGACAAACUAGAAACAUCCAAACAAUAUUACAUUAGAAUCAUCAGAGACUGUCAAUUUUUAUCCCUCACUGUGGCAGAAACACCUAAAUAAACAUUGAAAAGAUAAA